UGGGGAAUAUUGCACAAUGGGCGCAAGCCUGAUGCAGCCAUGCCGCGUGUGUGAAGAAGGCCUUCGGGUUGUAAAGCACUUUCAGCGGGGAGGAAGGCGAUAAGGUUAAUAACCUUGUCGAUUGACGUUACCCGCAGAAGAAGCACCGGCUAACUCCGUGCCAGCAGCCGCGGUAAUACGGAGGGUGCAAGCGUUAAUCGGAAUUACUGGGCGUAAAGCGCACGCAGGCGGUCUGUCAAGUCAGAUGUGAAAUCCCCGGGCUCAACCUGGGAACUGCAUUCGAAACUGGCAGGCUAGAGUCUUGUAGAGGGGGGUAGAAUUCCAGGUGUAGCGGUGAAAUGCGUAGAGAUCUGGAGGAAUACCGGUGGCGAAGGCGGCCCCCUGGACAAAGACUGACGCUCAGGUGCGAAAGCGUGGGGAGCAAACAGG
rnacentral:rRNA from 1 species